UACGUAGGGUGCGAGCGUUGUCCGGAAUUAUUGGGCGUAAAGGGCUCGUAGGCGGUUUGUCACGUCGGGAGUGAAAACGCCGUGCUUAACACGGCGCUUGCUUUCGAUACGGGCAGACUAGAGGUAUGCAGGGGAGAACGGAAUUCCUGGUGUAGCGGUGAAAUGCGCAGAUAUCAGGAGGAACACCGGUGGCGAAGGCGGUUCUCUGGGCAUUACCUGACGCUGAGGAGCGAAAGUGUGGGGAGCGAACAGG
rnacentral:rRNA from 1 species